CCUCCGUUGGUGAACCAGCGGAGGGAUCAUUAUCGAGUUUAUAACUCCCAAACCCUAUGUGAACUUACCACUUGUUGCUUCGGCGCGCGCUUCGGUGCCGCCGAGGACACUUAAACUCUUUGUUUUUAUAAGCAUUUCUGAGUGGCCGAAAGGCAAAAUACAAAUGAGUCAAAACUUUCAACAACGGAUCUCUUGGUUCUG
rnacentral:misc_RNA from 1 species